rnacentral:rRNA from 1 species
CGCUUGAGGAUGGGCGUGCGUGCUAUUAGCUAGUUGGUGAGGUAAUGGCUCACCAAGGCGACGAUAGCUAGGGGGCGUGAGAGCGUGACCCCCCACACGGGUACUGAGACACGGACCCGACUCCUACGGGAGGCAGCAGUAAGGAAUAUUGGGCAAUGGACGCAAGUCUGACCCAGCCAUGCCGCGUGCAGGAUGACUGCCCUAUGGGUUGUAAACUGCUUUUGUUUGGGAAGAAACCCCCGAUCGUGAUCGGGGCUGACGGUACCAUACGAAUAAGCAUCGGCUAACUCCGUGCCAGCAGCCGCGGUAAUACGGAGGAUGCAAGCGUUAUCCGGAUUCAUUGGGUUUAAAGGGUGCGCAGGCGGAAUAUUAAGUCAGUGGUGAAAUCCUGCAGCUUAACUGUAGAACUGCCAUUGAUACUGAUAUUCUUGAAUAUAGUUGAGGUGGGCGGAAUGUGUAAUGUAGCGGUGAAAUGCUUAGAUAUUACACAGAACACCAAUUGCGAAGGCAGCUCACUAAACUAAUAUUGACGCUGAGGCACGAAAGCGUGGGUAGCAAACAGGAUUAGAUACCCUGGUAGUCCACGCUGUAAACUAUGAUCACUCGCUGUUGGCAAUACAUCGUCAGCGGCUGAGCGAAAGCAUUAAGUGAUCCACCUGGGGAGUACGGUCGCAAGAUUGAAACUCAAAGGAAUUGACGGGGGCCCGCACAAGCGGAGGAACAUGUGGUUUAAUUCGAUGAUACGCGAGGAACCUUACCUGGGCUUAAAUGCAGAGCGACGUCCGCCGAAAGGUGGAUUCCUUCGGGCGAUCUGCAAGGUGCUGCAUGGUUGUCGUCAGCUCGUGCCGUGAGGUGUCGGGUUAAGUCCCAUAACGAGCGCAACCCUUAUCGCUAGUUGCCAGCGGGUAAUGCCGGGGACUCUAACGAAACUGCCGGUGUAAACCGUGAGGAAGGUGGGGAUGACGUCAAAUCAGCACGGCCCUUAUGUCCAGGGCUACACACGUGUUACAAUGGUCGGUACAGAGGGCAGCUACCACGCAAGUGGAUGCUAAUCUCGAAAACCGGUCUCAGUUCGGAUUGAAGUCUGCAACUCGACUUCAUGAAGCUGGAUUCGCUAGUAAUCGCGCAUCAGCCAUGGCGCGGUGAAUACGUUCCCGGGCCUUGUACACACCGCCCGUCAAGCCAUGGAAGCUUGGGGUACCUGAAGUCCGUAACCGCAAG